AUUGUUUCUCAGCGCUUUAUAGGUUAAGAUCAAGUGUAAAACCUGUUCUUAUCAGUUGUAAUAUCUGAUAUGUUUCCUAAGGGAAAGCUGUAUAUUGAGGGGUUUUUUUUGUUCCUUGGAGCUGGAUUAUGAAGCUUGCUCUUUCCUCUCCUUGCAUCAGCCUGGUACUGCAGUGCUUUCAGGAAUGGUGCCUUUUUC
rfam:Alligator mississippiensis ScZkoYb_109, whole genome shotgun sequence.